rnacentral:lncRNA from 1 species
UCUGUGCAAAUUGUUUGUGAUGUGGUUUAUUCCGUAUGUGUGCUGGAUUAAAUUCAAAAUUCCUCAAUCUAACCUGUAGGAAGGAACUGGAAAGGAAACAGUAGCAUACAAGUUGCCUACCAUCACUAACACCAACUCUUUUAUUAUAAAUCUUCGUUCUGCUGAAUGCAUCAUGCAGUUAAUACAGGUCACUACCCCAGUGUGGACAUGUUUGUUUUUCAACAAAUAAUUCAUUGACAUACAAGGAAAACUAUGAAAAAUAUCAUAUCAUCUUGGCCAAUCUUCAGGUUUAUUGCAGCAGCUUAAGAGAAGAAUAUGAACAAAUGCAGGGCAAAUACCAACAUGUGUUGUAUUUUUCUGAAUGUUAAACACAAGCAGUAGAUUCAACAUGACUAACUGUUUGAUGCCAAAGUUGGUUGGAACUCAACUCACUGUACGUACUCUAACACAGAAAACUGGUGCUGUUGCCUUUCAGCCACAGGCAGGAAAAUCAUUCUUUUCUUCAGAAAAUUGGAAAGCUGCUGGAGUAAUCUGGUGUUCAUGCUCAUUUGAUUCAUUUCGUGCCAGCUAGUGAAAGCCGAAAGGCAUGUCAAUUCAAUUGAGUUGCUCCGUGCUGUCUCGAAGCAAGCAAUCCAGCCGUUGCGUUCAGUCAUUUGGAACAGGAAUCUAAUGGCUGUCAAUAGGUGGCUGUGAAUAAGUGGCUGAAAUAAUGUCCACCAGGUGGCGCGAGUGUCUUCAGGGAUAGGGAAGAACAGUGGCCAUUUUGAUCCAAGACGCAGCAGGAAAUGGGUUGUGAGUUGUGACGUUUCUCACGAUGAAAAUUAAAAGGUGAUUUAGCACGUAGAAACCAAUUUGCAAAAUCAUUCAACUCAGACUUGGAAGUGCCUGUACAUUUCCGAAAUGGCGUGCCUCGUGUGUCUCGCUGCCCGUUCUUAGACGUACGUCUCAUCCCAUGCAACAGCAAAAAGUAAUUAUUUUAAUCAAAUGUCUUACAAAAUUACAGUUUUAGAUAACAUGACUAGAGAGUAGACCAAUUUGCUCCGCUACUAUAGAAAUUUUGAAUCAGAUAUCAAAGUCAUUCUGUUGGGCUGCGUAGUCUUCUGUUACUCUUUGUAUUCUUUUGUUAAAAUGAGUAUGCAUGUGUACACAGUUGUGUUUCUCGAAAAUAAUUUUCU